UGCACCGAGAUUCAACAUGGAACGWGUGNCGGACGGGUGAGUAACACGUGGGUAACCUGCCCUUAAGUGGGGGAUAACAUUUGGAAACAGAUGCUAAUACCGCAUAGAUCCAAGAACCGCAUGGUUCUUGGCUGAAAGAUGGCGUAAGCUAUCGCUUUUGGAUGGACCCGCGGCGUAUUAGCUAGUUGGUGAGGUAAUGGCUCACCAAGGCGAUGAUACGUAGCCGAACUGAGAGGUUGAUCGGCCACAUUGGGACUGAGACACGGCCCAAACUCUACGGGAGGCAGCAGUAGGGAAUCUUCCACAAUGGACGCAAGUCUGAUGGAGCAACGCCGCGUGAGUGAAGAAGGCUUUCGGGUCGUAAAACUCUGUUGUUGGAGAAGAAUGGUCGGCAGAGUAACUGUUGUCGGCGUGACGGUAUCCAACCAGAAAGCCACGGCUAACUACGUGCCAGCAGCCGCGGUAAUACGUAGGUGGCAAGCGUUAUCCGGAUUUAUUGGGCGUAAAGCGAGCGCAGGCGGUUUUUUAAGUCUGAUGUGAAAGCCCUCGGCUUAACCGAGGAAGCGCAUCGGAAACUGGGAAACUUGAGUGCAGAAGAGGACAGUGGAACUCCAUGUGUAGCGGUGAAAUGCGUAGAUAUAUGGAAGAACACCAGUGGCGAAGGCGGCUGUCUGGUCUGUAACUGACGCUGAGGCUCGAAAGCAUGGGUAGCGAACAGGAUUAGAUACCCUGGUAGUCCAUGCCGUAAACGAUGAAUGCUAGGUGUUGGAGGGUUUCCGCCCUUCAGUGCCGCAGCUAACGCAUUAAGCAUUCCGCCUGGGGAGUACGACCGCAAGGUUGAAACUCAAAGGAAUUGACGGGGGCCCGCACAAGCGGUGGAGCAUGUGGUUUAAUUCGAAGCAACGCGAAGAACCUUACCAGGUCUUGACAUCUUUUGAUCACCUGAGAGAUCAGGUUUCCCCUUCGGGGGCAAAAUGACAGGUGGUGCAUGGUUGUCGUCAGCUCGUGUCGUGAGAUGUUGGGUUAAGUCCCGCAACGAGCGCAACCCUUAUGACUAGUUGCCAGCAUUUAGUUGGGCACUCUAGUAAGACUGCCGGUGACAAACCGGAGGAAGGUGGGGAUGACGUCAAAUCAUCA
rnacentral:rRNA from 2 species